CCCUUAGAUGUUCUGGGCCGCACGCGCGCUACACUGACGAUGGCAACGAGUUUUUCCUUCGCCGAAAGGUGUGGGUAAUCUUUUGAAACAUCGUCGUGCUGGGGAUAGAUCAUUGCAAUUUUUGAUCUUGAACGAGGGAUUCCUAGUAAGCGCGAGUCAUCAGCUCGCGUUGAUUACGUCCCUGCCCUUUGUACACACCGCCCGUCGCUACUACCGAUUGAAUGGUUUAGUGAGGACUCCUGAUUGGCGCCGCCGCCCCGGCAACGGAGCAGCGGACUGCCGAAAAGUUGUUCAAACUUGAUCAUUUAGAGGAAGUAAAAGUCGUAACA
rnacentral:rRNA from 1 species